rnacentral:rRNA from 1 species
UUCCAAUAACGUAUAUUAAAAUUGUUGCGGUCAAAAAGCUCGUAAUUGGAUUUCUGCUGAGGACCACUGGUCCGCCACUGGGGGUGAGUAUCUGGCUCGGCCUUGGCAUCUUCUUGAAGAACGUAUCUGCACUUCAUUGUGUUGCGCGGUAACCACGAUUUCUAUUCUGAGGAAAUCAAAAUGUUUGAAGCAGGCGCGCG